rnacentral:rRNA from 1 species
UACGAAGGGGGCUAGCGUUGUUCGGAAUUACUGGGCGUAAAGCGUAUGCAGGCGGGUCGGUCAGUCAGGGGUGAAAUCCCGGGGCUCAACCCCGGAACUUCCUUUGAUACUGUCGAUCUUGAGUCCGGGAGAGGUGAGUGGAACUGCGAGUGUAGAGGUGAAAGUCGUAGAUAUUCGCAAGAACACCAGUGGCGAAGGCGGCUCACUGGCCCGGUACUGACGCUGAGAUACGAAAGCGUGGGGAGCAAACAGG